rnacentral:tRNA from 1 species
UGUUUUGUUGUGUAAUGGUAACGCACUCGACGCUUAUUCGAGAGGUGUAGGGUUCGAUUCCCCGCGAGGCAC